rnacentral:lncRNA from 1 species
CAGCUCCUUCCUUUUGUGUAGAGUUGGGCCUUUCAACAGUGCGUCAACCGGUUUAUUAAUUUUUUUUAAAAAAAUUGGGACAUAUGAGGACUAUUUGAUGCCAUGCAAAGAAAGAAUCUCGUCUCGUGGACUGCCAUGGUAAUUCCAGCACGGGCAUCUGGAUGAGGCAAACCUUCUAUGCCCGCAUGGUUCAUCUGGGGAUUUAAAUGGAAGUAGGCAGCUGUUUGAGAAAAUGGAAGAAAAGAAUUUGGUGUCGCAAAUGCGAUUUCUCUGGCGAAACUUGGGUGCCCCUCAUACUUCGUGGAAGUUUUAAUAAGCUUGUCAUCCUUCCUAGCAAGAUCACUGCAUAGAAAGUUCUCGAAGAGCUCCAUCCCGCGUUUGCUUUACAUCGCUAUACAUCUCCUUUUGAUCUGUAAAGUUUGGAGAGCCCGUAACAUAGCCUUUCAUCCAACUCCACGCUCUCAUUCUUUAGCAGAACAUCCGAGAGUUUUUAGUAAAAUCAACGGUGAAAAAAAAAAGAAGCAGAGAAUAACGCUUGAUGAGCUUAUAUUCCCAAACAUCAGUUUUAACAGCAGCUGCCAACUCCGGGCAUCUGGGAGAUGCUAAGAGGAUAUUUGAUGGCAUUGGGGAGCCAGACGUGGUGUGCUGGAAUGCGAUGCUUUCGGCAUAUGCCCGUGCCGGAUGUAUCUCAGAUGCGAGAGGAAUCUUUGAUGCCAUGCAGGCAAAGAAUCUAGUCUCGUGGACUUCCAUGGUGUGCGCAUAUUCUAAGCACGGGCAUCUAGACGAGGCAAAGAUUCUCCUUGGUGCCAUGCCCGAGUGGAAUGCGGUAUCGUGGACAGCGAUAAUCGCUGCUUGUGGUUUAGCUGGAAACUUAAACGAGAGUAAGCAGAUGUUUGAGAUGAUGGAAGAGAAGACUUUGGUGUCGUGGAAUGUGAUUCUCUCCGCAAAUGCCCAAAACGGGCAAUUUGCGAGUUCUCUGACGAUCUUUCAUGCGAUGCCGCAGUGGGAUCUGGUGUCGUGGAUCACGCUCCUGGGUGGAAUUUCCAGCGAUAUUGAUGCUCUGCUCGAGAUUUUCCACGCAAUGCCCGAGCACGACAUCGUGUGCUGGAAUGCGCUGCUAUCGGCUCACGGGACUAGAGGCAGGAUUGGCGAUGCCCAGCUCGUGUUUGAGCGGAUGCCGGAGAGGAAUUUGAUAUCCUGGACUGCGAUGCUCAAUGCAUGGAUCUUGUGCGGCGACCUGGAACUCGCGAGAGAGCUCUUUGAUCGCAUGCCGGAGAGGAACCUUGUUUCUUGGACCGCGAUCAUCGAUGCGUAUUCGCAGAGAGGAGAUCCGUGCCAGGCCAAGAGCCUCUUCGCCCAGAUGCCGGAGCAGAGCCUGGCCUCCUGGAACGCGAUCCUCUCCGGCAUCGCCCGGUUUGGAGAUCUGGAAGAGGCUGGAGAGAUCUUCGAGAGGAUGCCGCAGUGGAAUUCUUCCUCGUGGAACGCAAUGCUGGCCGCCUACACCCUGUCCGGAAAGAAUCUGGAAGAAGCCUGGGCGCUGUUCGCCAAGAUCCCUCGCAAGAACCAGCUCUCUUGGAACCUGAUACUCACCGCCGAGAGCCAGCCGCUGGAGUCAUCGCUGGAGAUCUUCGCGUCGAUGCCGGAGCGCGACGUCGUGUCCUGGACCGCGAUUCUCACCGCAUUUGCCCGCGCCGCCCACAACUCCCACGCGGAGAAGCUCUUCGCGCAAAUCCCCAGCCCCAAUCCCAUCUCCUGGGCCGCCCUCCUGGCCGCGCUCUCCACCAGCGAUCCAUUCCCCGCCUUCCACGAGAUGGCCAUGCUCCACGCACCCACGCCCGCGUGCUUCGCGUCGGUGCUGGCGGCGUGCGUCCACCGUGGCGCGCUGGAGCUUGCCACGUCAUAUUUCGCGGCCAUGGUCCGCGACCACGGCGUGACGCCCGGCCGGCAGCACUACGGCUGUAUGGUGGACUUGAUGGGCCGCGCGGGACGCGUGGAUGACGCGCGGCACAUUGUCGCCGCCAUGCCAUGCCACGUGGACGCGCUGGAUUGGCGGUGCCUGCUUGGGGCUUGUAGAUGGAGUGGCACGGAGGGUGAUCGGUGUGGUACGGACGUGGCCGGGCUUGCGAUGGGGUUGGAUCCAGGUGACGCCGCUGCCUACGACCUGGUAGCAAGUGUGUAUGAGUAUAAUAGCGUAUAGAUCUUGUAUAUGGAACGUGUUACCAGACCAGAUUAACUGCAAAGUGAUUGAUUGAUAUCAUAGUUUUUGCUCAACACGACCAGAGUUUUAUUUAUUCACCAAAGUGAUUGAUUGAUAUCAUCC